UACGUAGGGUGCAAGCGUUGUCCGGAAUUAUUGGGCGUAAAGGGCUCGUAGGCGGUUUGUCACGUCGGGAGUGAAAACUCAGGGCUUAACCCUGAGCCUGCUUCCGAUACGGGCAGACUAGAGGUAUGCAGGGGAGAAUGGAAUUCCUGGUGUAGCGGUGAAAUGCGCAGAUAUCAGGAGGAACACCGGUGGCGAAGGCGGUUCUCUGGGCAUUACCUGACGCUGAGGAGCGAAAGUGUGGGUAGCAAACAGG
rnacentral:rRNA from 1 species